GAUGAACGCUGGCGGCGUGCCUAAUACAUGCAAGUCGAGCGAACAGAUAAGGAGCUUGCUCCUUUGACGUUAGCGGCGGACGGGUGAGUAACACGUGGAUAACCUACCUAUAAGACUGGGAUAACUUCGGGAAACCGGAGCUAAUACCGGAUAACAUAUUGAACCGCAUGGUUCAAUAGUGAAAGGCGGCUUUGCUGUCACUUAUAGAUGGAUCCGCGCCGUAUUAGCUAGUUGGUAAGGUAACGGCUUACCAAGGCAACGAUACGUAGCCGACCUGAGAGGGUGAUCGGCCACACUGGAACGUGGACACGGUCCAGACUCCUACGGGAGGCAGCAGUAGGGAAUCUGCCGCAAUGGGCGAAAGCCUGACGGAGCAACGCCGCGUGAGUGAUGAAGGUCUUCGGAUCGUAAAACUCUGUUAUCAGGGAAGAACAAAUGUGUAAGUAACUGUGCACAUCUUGACGGUACCUGAUCAGAAAGCCACGGCUAACUACGUG
rnacentral:rRNA from 1 species